rnacentral:lncRNA from 1 species
UUUUUUUUGGGGGGGGGGUGUCUUUUUGUCUUUUCAGGGCCACACCCGUGGCAUAUGGAGGUUCCCAGGCUAGAGGUCCAAUCGGAGCUAUAGCUGCCAGCCUACACCACAGGCACAGUAAAGCCAGAUCCAAGCCAUGUCUUCAACCUAUACCACACUCACGGCAACGCCAGAUCCAUAAUCCACUGAGCGAGGCCAGGGAUCGAACCUGCAACCUCAUGGUUCCUAGUCAGAUUCGUCUCUGCUGUGCUGUGACAGGAACUCCUCUUUUUUUAAAAAUUUGUUCUUAAAGUUGAUUUAGCAUGUUCUGUCAAUUUCUGCUGUACAGCAAAGUGACCCAGUCAUACACAUAUAUACAUUCUUUUAUUCAAAUUAUCCUCCAUCACAUUCCAUCACCAGUGGUUAGAUAUGGUUCCCUGUACUAUACAGCAGGAUCUCAUUUCUUUUCCACUACAAAUGCAAUAGUUUGCCUGAAAUGCUUUUCAAAGCUGAAAGAAGACCCGUUCAAUCCCUAUGAAUCUGGAACAAGGGGAGGGGGAAAAGAACACGUCUUUUUAUAAAGCCUCUAAUUCGUCACAGAAAGCCACCCAUCUGAAGUCACAACCUGUUGGCUCCAGGAGGUGGAGCCCAGGCCAGUGUGCUGGCUUUGGGGGGUGGGGGGCGGGGUGUCAGAUUUAAAGCCUGAUUCUUAUAAACCCAAAACACACUCACGGGAGUGGGAGAAGCAAACAAUGCAGCCAGAAACACCACCUCCAGGAUCCUUUCUGGAGCCGAAACGUGGAAGGAGGGAAGCUUGGAGCAUCACAGAAGGCGGUGGCUUCUUGGCACCUCAGCCUGUGAAUCAUUGCUCUCUCAUGGGUUCCCUGAACGACCUCUAAUUUGGGAGCAGAGCAGCAGAAGGGCCCCAAAUUAACUUCAGUUUCGUCCUUUCCCUUUCACUUGGAGUCCUGUGGGCCUGAGUGUUGGGCGUCUGCUCCGACAAGGCUCAAGACAUCUAGGGUGUUUCUUCAUGAUGAUCACAGUAAGGAUCUGCCCGAGAUAUCUGGGGACUUUCGGGGCGGGGGGGAUUGUGCAGGGUGGGAAUUGGCCCAAAGAAAGGACUCACUUUUGAUGUGAGUCUUGAUCAAAGAGAAACCCAACGUGCAGGGGAUGUCAGAGAGUUCUCAAGAUGACAGUGCCAUAUGAAAGUUUCUUGGGAGUUCCCUGGUGGUCUAGUGGCUAGGAUUCAGUGCUUUUACUACCAUGGCUUGGGUUCAGCCUCCUAAUCUGGGAACUGAGAUCCCACAUCAAGCCAGUACAUGGAGAGGCAAAAAAACAAAAAACAAAAAACAAAAAAAAAACAGAGCUAAGGAGUUCCUGCUGUGGUGCAAGGGGACUGGCAGUGUCUUGGAACUGCUGGGAGAUAAGUUGGAUCCCUGGCCUAGCACAGUGGGUUAAGGAUCCAGCAUCACUGCAACUGCAGCUUAGAUCUGAUCCCUGGCCCAGGAACUCCAUAUGCUGCAGUUUGGCCAAAAAAGAAAAAGAAGGUACCGACAGUAAGUGCCCCUUAUGAGGGGUGGGUAGGUGGAGGUGGGGUGUAGGGGGAGCUUGACUCUUCCCUCUUAUAUACUUUUUGUACCAUUUAAGUUCCACACUAUGUGUAUACAUUAUUGAUCUUUUAAAAAUUAAAACAAAAUUUUUUUGGCCACGUUUGUAGCAUGUAGAGGACCCUGGGCCAGAGACUGACCUGAGCCACAGCAGUGACAAUGCCAGAUACUCAACCUAGUGUGCCAGAAGGGAGUUCCUACUUUAAAAUUUUUGUUUACAGCUUUGCAUGUCACAGACCUCAUGGAAAUGUAGUAGGUGGAGUUCCCGUUGUGGCACAGCAGAAGCAAAUCCAAUGACUAUCCAUAAGAAUGUGGGUUCAACCGCUGGCCUCGCUCAGUGGGUCUGGGAUCCAGCGUUGCCAUGAGCUGUAGGUGCAGGUUGCAGACAUGGCUAGGAUUUGGCAUUGCUGUGGCUGUGGUAUAAGCUGACAGCUGUGGCUCUAAUUCGACCCCUAGCCUGGGAACUUUCAUAGGCUAUGGGUGGGACCCUAAAAAGCAAAAAAAAAAAAAAAAAAAAAAAAAAAAAAAGUAGCAGGUGCUUAAUAAAUUCACGUUAAAACACUGUGCUGGUUCAGGAACUAGCAUUUAUGAAGUGCCGACUGUGUGCCAAGGGCCCUCUGGCAAUGCCCAUUUUCCAGCUCUUACAGAGUGGGGACUCCUCCCAGGAGCCAGAGCUCUGCCCCUGCACGAGGACCACACCGCCAUCAUCCCUGGAGGGAGCAUUUGGAGGCACCAGAUGCUUUGGCAGGAUCCAGAGAGAUGCCAUCUGUGAGGGGAACCUAUUCUUAGAGAGCAGAGACAGUCGGUGGUGGAGCUCGCCAACCCCCAGCGGCAGAGGGGGACGUGGGGCAGGCAGGCAGCCAAGGCUGUACCUUCGGCUGGCGGGGGACGGGGUAGGACAGGCUACAAGCAGGGUGUACGCAGCCCUCAGGACCACGCUCUCUUUUCCGUUUGGAUGAUAUUUUGGAAAUAGCAGCCAACAUUUAUCGAGUGCUUACUUUAUAUGCAUCCUGUCACUUAAUCCUCCCAACCAGCCUAUGAGGUGGGCACUAUUACAAUGCCUAUUUUACAGAUGACAAAAUGGAAGCCCAGAAUAGUUAGGUCACUUGCCCAAGGAGGGAGCAGGGCCAGGAAGCCCAGACACUCUGGCUCCAAAGGCUCUGUCCCCUGGUACAGAGGUAUGUAGCUGCCUGUCAGUCCGCUGCACCAGAGGCCAAGUUCAGCCUACCCCCACCUCACAGGCAGACUCCAAGGCAACAAUUUGAGUGCAAGUGGUUUCUGUGGCAAGUCCCAGGAAGCACUGGCAGGGACAUGAAUAAGGGAGGCGGGGAGGUGUCAUCGAGCAAAUGGCCCCUGUGGGCAACUGGAGCUCAGUCCUGCUGGGGUGCUCUGGGAGCCAGCACGGGUGGGGCAGGCACCAUGAAUUAUCCCACCAGUGAUCACUGGGUAAGGGGUGCGGGAGUCGGGUAUUCAUCAGUCCUUGGUUAAGGGCUGCUCCCAGGAUAUGCUACUCCUCCAGCAUGGCAGGUCUGCUGCAGGCUGGCAAAGCAGGUGCCAAGAGCAAGAGAGGAGCCCUCAGGCGGAAAGACACAGGGUGGCAGUUGGGUGGCUGGUGUGCACUGAAGCAGUAAGUUAGGCAGGAUAUGGGUGGGGCAUCUGCUAUAAAAGCCACUUGCGGAUGGCCACUGUCUCCCCACCCAUCACCUCAGGAUUUCAUUCAGCCUCCGCAGAGUGAACUAAGGGGAACUUCAAGAUCCCCCCUGCUCUGGGAGCUCAAUGGUGCAAUGGGAUCGGCAGCAUCCCGGCAGAGCCAAGACCCAGGUUCAAUCCCCAGGCCAGCACAGUGGUUUAAAGGAUCCACUGUUGCUACAGCUAUGGCAUAGGUUGAAAAUGUGGCUUGGAUCUGAUCCCUGGUACACUCCCCCUCCUCAAAGAUCCCCUUCUCUAAGCUUGCAGUACAUUGUGCCUGAGAACACAGCACAACUGAAUCCCACUUCUAUUACUUAAGAGCUCUGUGACUUAGUUUCCUCAUUUGUCACAUGGGAUACUGGCCCCAUAUCAUUCCCCAGCACCUUGUGACUCAGGGUGUAGCUCAGAGAACAGCAGUGUCACCUGGGAGCCUACGAGAAAUACAGAAUCUCAGGCCCUAUGCCAAACACUCUGAGUCAGAGCCUGUAUUUUAAUCAGCUCUCCAGUGACUCAUGUGAAUAUUCUACUAGUAACUUCCAAAAUAUCAAAAGAGAUUGACGUGUUCCUACUCAAAUUGGUGGCCCAUGGGCCAACUCUCCUAGGGUGUGUUUCAUUUGUCCAGCUUGGAGAUUUUAAAAUCAGUCUAUGUAAUUCCCAGGUGGUGCAGUGGGUUAAAUCUAAUGUUGUCAUUGCAGCAGCCUCGUGUCACUGUUGUGGCAUGGGUUCGAUCCCUGGCCUGGGAACUUUCACAUGCCAAGGUUCGGCAAAAAAAAAAAAAAAAUCAGUCUGGCACACAAGUCUCCACUUCACUAUGUUUCCAUCACGCCCUCCUGCCUGGCACCCGAAACAUUAUUGUUUAUGCCACCCACCAGGUCCUUAGAGGCAUUUGCAUUUGUACCCCUAUAACUAGCCAACAUUUGCAUAGCAUAGCUUAGGUGUCUAAAUUUAAAGUAAGGCACUGAGUGGGAGUUCCCACUGUGGCUCAGUGGUUAAUGAGCCCAACUAAUAUCCACGAGGACAUGGGUUCGAUCCCUGGCCUCACUCAGUGGGUUAAGGAUCUGGCAUUGCCGCGAGCCAUGGUGUAGGCAGGCAGCUACAGCUCCAAUUCAACCCCUAGCCUGGGAAUCUCCAUAUGCUGCGGGUGCAGCCUUAAAAAGGAAAAAAAGAAAAAAGGUAAGUCAAAUAGCA